rnacentral:misc_RNA from 1 species
AACCUUAUGGACCUGCGGGCGUAUACCUGCGGAAGGAUCAUUACCUAGAGUUGUAGGCUUUGCCUGCUAUCUCUUACCCAUGUCUUUUGAGUACCUUACGUUUCCUCGGUGGGUUCGCCCGCCGGUUGGACAAAACUUAAACCCUUUGUAGUUGCAAUCAGCGUCUGAAAAAACUUAAUAGUUACAACUUUUAGCAACGGAUCU